GCUGACUCUCUUUUCAGAUUCAGCCCAGUUGCACCCAAGUAAAAUAAACAGUCUUGUUGCUCACACAAAGCCUGUUGGUGGACUCUCUUCAUAUGGACUCAUGUGACAUUUGGUGCCGAAGACCUGAGACAGGAGGACUCCUUUGGGAGACCGGUCCCCUGUCCUCGCCCUCUCUCCAUGAGAUCCACCCAUGACCUCGGGUCCUCAGCCCAGCCGAAGGAACUUCUCACCAAUUUUAAAUCGGCGAAGCAAAACCAACAAGAAUGAAGUGGUCAGGUAUGGUGGCUCCUGCCUGUAAUCUCAG
rnacentral:lncRNA from 10 species